rnacentral:rRNA from 1 species
GAUGAACGCUGGCGGCGUGCCUAACACAUGCAAGUCGAGCGGACAGAUGAGGCUUUUGCCUGGAUGCAGCGACGGGCGGGUGGGUGAUUCACAGGAGUCUGCCUGACCUUGGAGGAUAACAUCCUGAAAGGAACGCUGAUACAACAUACGACCAGAUAGUGAAACGGGUGGAUCUUUGGAGCAAACGGGAUUUGAUGAGCCUAGGUCGUAUUAGCGAGUUGGUGGGGUAAAGGCUUACCAAGACGGCGAUCCGUAGCCAAUCUGAGAGGAUGACCAGCCACACUGGAACUGAGACACGGUCCAGACUCCUACGGGAGGCAGCAGUGGGGAAUCUUCGGCAAUGGGCGAAAGCCUGACACAGCGACGCCGCGUGUGUGAUGAAGGUCUUCGGAUCGUAAAGCACUUUUAGUUGGGAGGAACGGAUGUAUAAUAAUACAUUGCUGUCUUGACGUUACCAACUCAAAAAGCACCGGCUAACUACGUG